rnacentral:lncRNA from 1 species
GCCUGUCCUCUCAGGGCCCAGACACUGCCGACAACAACAAAAUAGUCACCUGGGAUAUCGUCAUCGAACAGCCCAAGCCCAGGCCUCAUUCCAAUGCAAAUUCAAUGCACCCGGACUCCUACAUGCCCUGCCACAUCGAUGGACAUGGGCUAUUUAAACAUUGCUGUCUCGACUCGUGAAGCGCCCGGCCCUCUACCUUACGAGAAAAAACAAAACCUCUACUAAAUCAGCUGUGAUAGCAGUGGUGUGGUUCACACUGGGCUACCUCUCCCCUUUUUACAAUGGCUCCCUCUCUACAAUGGCUACCUCUCCCCUUUUUACAAUGGCUACCUCUCUACAAUGGCUACCUCUCCCCUUUUUACAAUGGCUACCUCUCUACAAUGGCUCCCUCUCUACAAUGGCUCCCUCUCUACAAUGGCUCCCUCUCAACAAUGGCUCCCUCUCUACAAUGGCUCCCUCUCUACAAUGGCUCCCUCUCUACAAUGGCUCCCUCUCAACAAUGGCUCCCUCUCUACAAUGGCUCCCUCUCUACAAUGGCUCCCUCUCUACAAUGGCUCCCUCUCUACAAUGGCUACCUCUCCACAAUGGUACCAGGAGAUUAUUCAAGGGCCUAUGGUAGUGUCAGUGUGUCCCAGGAGGAGGUGACUAACGUCAGGACAUGUGGUUGGCAGGAUGCAGGGGCACACUGUGCUCCACGGUGCUCCACGCUGCUCCUGUCCAGCUGUGCCGGGGACCACAUCCCCCCCGAAGAGGAACUAAUUGUGAGGGUUAUCGAUUGCCACCACAUAUCUCGGCCUGUCCCUGGUUCGUUUUGAUUCGGCAAGCCUUUCAGCGUUUUUCCCUCUGUUCCUGUCUCUUGAUUGUUUCUGUUUUCUAGUUUUCCCGGUUUUUACCUUUUCUGCCUACCCUGAGCCUGCCUGCCAUCCUAUACUUUUGCCCCACCUAUCUGGAUUACUGACCUCUGCCUACCCUGACCCUGAGCCUGCCUACCAUCCUGUACCUUGCCCCACCUAUCUGGAUUACUGACCUCUGCCUACCCUGACCCUGAGCCUGCCUACCAUCCUGUACCUUGCCCCACCUAUCUGGAUUACUGACCCCUGCCUGCCUUGUCCUGUCUAUUGCCUGCCCC